rnacentral:rRNA from 1 species
CCUACGGGAGGCAGCAGUGGGGAAUAUUGCACAAUGGGCGGAAGCCUGAUGCAGCAACGCCGCGUGCGGGAUGACGGCCUUCGGGUUGUAAACCGCUUUCGCCUGUGACGAAGCGUGAGUGACGGUAAUGGGUAAAGAAGCACCGGCUAACUACGUGCCAGCAGCCGCGGUGAUACGUAGGGUGCGAGCGUUGUCCGGAUUUAUUGGGCGUAAAGGGCUCGUAGGUGGUUGAUCGCGUCGGAAGUGUAAUCUUGGGGCUUAACCCUGAGCGUGCUUUCGAUACGGGUUGACUUGAGGAAGGUAGGGGAGAAUGGAAUUCCUGGUGGAGCGGUGGAAUGCGCAGAUAUCAGGAGGAACACCAGUGGCGAAGGCGGUUCUCUGGGCCUUUCCUGACGCUGAGGAGCGAAAGCGUGGGGAGCGAACAGGCUUAGAUACCCUGGUAGUCCACGCUGUAAACGGUGGGUACUAGGUGUGGGGUCCGAUUCCACGGGUUCCGUGCCGUAGCUAACGCUUUAAGUACCCCGCCUGGGGAGUACGGCCGCAAGGCUAAAACUCAAAUGAAUUGACGG